GGCUCAGGACGAACGCUGGCGGCGUGCUUAACACAUGCAAGUCGAACGAUGAAGCUGGAGCUUGCUCUGGUGGAUUAGUGGCGAACGGGUGAGUAACACGUGAGUAACCUGCCCUGGACUCUGGGAUAAGCGUUGGAAACGACGUCUAAUACCGGAUAGGACCUCGGAUCGCAUGAUCUGGGGUGGAAAGUUUUUCGGUCUGGGAUGGACUCGCGGCCUAUCAGCUUGUUGGUGAGGUAAUGGCUCACCAAGGCGUCGACGGGUAGCCGGCCUGAGAGGGUGACCGGCCACACUGGGACUGAGACACGGCCCAGACUCCUACGGGAGGCAGCAGUGGGGAAUAUUGCACAAUGGGCGCAAGCCUGAUGCAGCAACGCCGCGUGCGGGAUGACGGCCUUCGGGUUGUAAACCGCUUUUAGUAGGGAAGAAGGGCUUCGGCUUGACGGUACCUGCAGAAAAAGGACCGGCUAACUACGUGCCAGCAGCCGCGGUAAUACGUAGGGUCCGAGCGUUGUCCGGAAUUAUUGGGCGUAAAGAGCUCGUAGGCGGUUUGUCGCGUCUGCUGUGAAAACUAGAGGCUCAACCUCUAGCCUGCAGUGGGUACGGGCAGACUUGAGUGCGGUAGGGGAGAAUGGAAUUCCUGGUGUAGCGGUGGAAUGCGCAGAUAUCAGGAGGAACACCGAUGGCGAAGGCAGUUCUCUGGGCCGUAACUGACGCUGAGGAGCGAAAGCGUGGGGAGCGAACAGGAUUAGAUACCCUGGUAGUCCACGCCGUAAACGUUGGGCGCUAGAUGUGGGGACCUUUCCACGGUUUCCGUGUCGUAGCUAACGCAUUAAGCGCCCC
rnacentral:rRNA from 1 species